GAUGAACGCUGGCGGCGUGCCUAAUACAUGCAAGUCGAGCGAACAGACGAGGAGCUUGCUCCUCUGACGUUAGCGGCGGACGGGUGAGUAACACGUGUAUAACCUACCUAUAAGACUGGGAUAACUUCGGGAAACCGGAGCUAAUACCGGAUAACAUGUUGAACCGCAUGGUUCAACAGUGAAAGACGGUCUUGCUGUCACUUAUAGAUGGAUCCGCGCCGCAUUAGCUAGUUGGUAAGGUAACGGCUUACCAAGGCAACGAUGCGUAGCCGACCUGAGAGGGUGAUCGGCCACACUGGAACUGAGACACGGUCCAGACUCCUACGGGAGGCAGCAGUAGGGAAUCUUCCGCAAUGGGCGAAAGCCUGACGGAGCAACGCCGCGUGAGUGAAGAAGGUCUUCGGAUCGUAAAACUCUGUUAUUAGGGAAGAACAAAUGUGUAAGUAACUAUGCACGUCUUGACGGUACCUAAUCAGAAAGCAACGGCUAACUACGUG
rnacentral:rRNA from 1 species